rnacentral:rRNA from 1 species
GGACAGUAUGGGAGUGAGAAUGUUGGCAUGAGUAGCGAGAUGUGGGUGAGAAUCCCACAGGCCGUAAACCCAAGGUUUCCAGGGGAAGGUUCGUCCGCCCUGGGUUAGUCGGGACCUAAGCUGAGGCCGAAAGGCGUAGGGGAUGGACAACAGGUUGAUAUUCCUGUACUACCGAUAACCGUUUGAGAGAUGGGAUGACACAGUAGGAUAAGCUAAGCACACUGUUGGUUAUGUGUGCCCAAGCAUUGAGGCAGUCAAAGUAGGCAAAUCCGCUUUGAUAAUGCUAGGAUGUGAUGGGGAGCGAAAUUUAGUAGCGAA